AAUAAGUUAUUCUGCCCACCGUGGGACCCAGCGGGCUUGCACACAUGUUCCCAUGACCCCCUCUCUCUCACACACACGCUCCCACGUCACUGGCCGGUUUAAAGUAAAUGCGCCUCCCCUCGAGCUUUGGAUACACGCGUUUGCUAAAGUCGGAGACUAAAUGGAUUUGCGCGUUCUCAUCAUCGUGGGAAGUCGACUGAGUGAGCGGUCGCGCGUCUUUGAAACGGACCGUAAACGACGUGUUUCCAGUUGAGGAGAAGCAACAGAGGAUGGAAAAGCAGUAGUUACCAGUAGUUCCUGUACCAGUAGCACACAGGUCUGAUUUUCAGAACAAGGAGAAUGUCUGAGGUAAAUGAAAAAGUCUCUAUAACUGCCCCAGAGUUGGAGACUCCUCCCUUAAUGUCAGAUACAGGGUCUGUGAUUAGUGGACUGCGUCUUCGAUCUGCACCAGGCGCUUGCUUGUUGUUUGCUGGUGUUUUGCUGAUAGUAGGAAUCUGCAUCGCUGUGGGGGGGUACUGGAACAAUCAACCUCGCAGACAAACCCCACAUCAUGUUUCAACAGGACGCACCUCUUCAGAGAAACUGAAGCUGAUUGGUCCUGUCAUCAUGGGGGUGGGGCUUUUCAUCUUCAUUUGUGCCAAUACAAUUCUCUAUGAAAAUCGUGACCGAGAACAACGUCAUGAGCGAGACCAACAUAAAGUGGACCAGGAGAUCCUGCCACUGGUACA